GACCAGGAGGCAGGGAGCAAGGAAGGAACUGGAGUGGGCUAUAAUUGUCAAAGGCCCACCCCACUUCUGCCAGGUAGGCCCCACUUCCUAAAGACCCCUUAGAUAUCACUGCCACUGAGAAACAAGCACCCAAAACACGAGCUUGUGGGGACAUUUCUGAUUCAAACCAUAAGACUUAGUGAGCUUGCUAAAAAUACAGAAUUUAGGGCUGGAGAGGUGUCUUCGUCAGCAGAGUGUUUGCCUUGCGAGUAUGGGACCUGAGCUUGAUCCUCAGAACUCGUAUAAAGAAGAAGAAGGAGAAGGACAAAGAGAGUGGGGCGGGGGGGAGAGACACAGCGGCACACACUUGUAAUCCUACUGCCGAGGAGAUGGAGACAGGUGGGGUACUGCGGCUUGCUGGCCAGCCAGCCUGGCUUAGUUGGUAAGUACUAGGCCAGUGAGAGACUCUGCCUCAACAAACAAGGUGGGGGCUGGGAAGAUGGCUCAGUGGGGAGAGUGCUUCCCUUGAAAGUAUAAGGACCUGAGUUCGAAUCCCCAGCACUCCUGUAAAUGCUGGGCAUGGCUAUUUGUGCCUGUAACCUGGCACUGGAGCAGGGAGAGGGUGCACAAACAGGGGUGUGUCACCAGCACUCAUUGACCACCACCAAGUCUAGCCCCAAAUCCACAAGUUCCAGGUUUGGUGAGAGACCUUGUCUCAAGGGAAUAAGAUGGGGAAUGACAGAAGGUACCUGGCAUCCUCCUCUAGACUCUACAUGGGCAUGUGUACUGGACAGGUAUGCAUAUGACCCCCCACACACUACACACACCACACACACACUAAAUAAAUAAAUAAAUAAAUAAAUAAAUAAAUAAAGCAAGGUAGAUGGAUCCUUAGGAAGCACUUAAUUUGACUUCUGGUCUCCACACACUUAUGCAUGCAUGUGCACACAUUGGCAUACACAUGCACACAUAUGCACCAACACAUAAGCACCCAUACAAAGCAAAACAACACCACCAACAACAACAAAAACCACCCCACAGAAAUACAGUUCUGCCUGUGCAUCUCACAUUUAUAACUUAAUCUAAUGUAAAAAUUUCUCUUCAUUUUUGGGCACUUGCUUCAAUCACUUAUAUGAGCAUGCAUUAUUCAUAUUAUCCACAUGAUUUUUUUUUUCUAAAAACGCUUUUGGCAGCCAGCCUCCUAACUCUGACUUAUAACUCAUAGGUGGGCAUCUGCCAGGAGGAGGGCAUACUGCAAGAGCUGAAGGAAUGUUCAGACUCUCAAAGACACAGUUGGAUAUCCCACACCCGGAAAUUGAGCAAGAGGGGACCUGUCCUAGUAAUCUACAUAAUUUUGAAUGAUGAGGAAAUGGAAGUUCCAGGAGGAUGGGGGCUGUGCACAGGGCUAUGGAGGAGGCUCAAGACUGAUAAGGAAGAGAGUCACCGGGGUUCUCCUGAAACACUAAUGGACAAUGGACGCUUUCAUUGCAACCUGACACAGUUUUAAGAUGGAGGAAAUUUGCCUUAUGAUGCAGGGCACCAUGUGAUCGAAUGUGAGCACCGUGCCCACCACGUGAUCCUCCCAGGACACAGGAAGUAGAACCAGGGGUCUUAUGGUCCAGUGUUUCAUCUUGGCUUGCCUCUGUCUCAUUCUUCUCCUCCUUGAAUUUGCCUUCAGAGCAGUGGGCAGUGGCUGUCCUCAGUCCCAGAUAAAUGCUGUCUCCAUGAGAAGACCAGCCCAGUUAGAAACAGGACGGCCCAAAGGAGAAUCUUAUUGGUCCCAUUUGGGCCCUGUAUCUAGUUGUGGGCCAAUCAGCGUUGGCCAAUGAUCUAGGGUCUUGGGGCUUGUUUGUUCCUAUAGGUAGGGCAGGUCAUAAGGGACUGAGUGGCCAUGUCCUCCCUGGGGACUCAACAAGAAAUGAGAAUUUCAAGAAAGAGUGAAGUGGUGUCCAGAGAAGAAUUUCCUGAGGAAGAUAAAGCUUUUUCUUUUCCUAACCCUUGUCCUUUCUGCAUUCAAUUUGUAAUUGCCAACAUACUUGUGUGGUACGGAAUGUUUUUAGAAAGAUCAACAAAUGUUACCUUGAAAACCAAUAAAAAACAGAAAAAUAAAAAUCAA